rnacentral:lncRNA from 1 species
AAAAGAAUGAUCUAAUAAUAAUUAAAUAUCACAAGACAAACGAUAAUAAAUGUCAAACUGUCUCAAACCACAAUCUAAAAUAAUUAUUACAAUUCCAAAUAAACUGACAUAUCAAGCCAAAACAGAAUAUUUCUAAACCAUUGAAAUGAAGGGAGCUCUCAUCACACUUGCCCUUGAUUCUCCUGGUUACCUGCCGGAAGAAAAACACAGCAUGAGCCAAAUGCCCAGUACGGAUAUAGAAUACAAAUAAUGAACCAAAAUAACUAACUCAGUUAAACGAAAUGAAACAAAACGAACGAAACUAACACAACAAAAUAAUAAGCUGAAUCAAAUAGCUGUGUGAUAUUCCAUACCGAUCUCAAAACAAAACAGAAAUAUUUCUUGCCACAUGUACAAGCAAGUCAAAUAAUGCCACACAGGCAAAUCAUAUAAUGUCACACAUGCAAAUCAAAUAAUGUCACACAGUCAAAUUACACACAUUGGACCGCGAAUCCAAUGCAUGUAAAAUCGGAAGGUGUGUUUGACACAAACAUCACCAAUCCGCAGAACAUAACAGAACAGAAAACUAGGGUCGACCCAUACGCCUCCCACAACAAAACACCAAAUGACCAACUCCCACUGGAGCACAAAACGGAGACGUCUUGGACUGAUCACACCGUCACGAAAGGUGUCAUGCCUCGGUGACAAGAGGACAUGUCUGUAGUACCCCCACAGGUGGUUAUAGCUCAGGUAUACUCUACGGUAUUCUAACAAAGAUAUAAUAUUACAACACAUGCGACACAACAAAGGGGUUCUAACAUGUGCAUGUUAAACUGAAACGAAAUAUCAAUACAAAGCCUCCAAAAAUAUUAACAUGUACUUUCUACAAAGAUCGACAUAAAUAUUAACCAUGACACACUAGAUCAAAGAGUAUAAAUACUAGUUUCAAAUACUAAUGCCAAAAUGAAACAUUCUCACGAAUUUAAGAAGGAACAAUCAUGUGAAACAGUAAUAAAUUUCUAAAUGAAAAGUGAAAUAAACAAAUCAAAAUUAAAGGAUUAUCACAGAAGGAGUACGAAAUCCGUACCUGGAUUAAGCAAUGUAAUACCCAAAGUAUAUUCCAAAAACUCGUUUAGACUCUCUCCGCUCAAUCUAAAUAAUUUAAUAAAAUUUUAUUACAAUCCAAUCAUUAAUAACAUAAUACUAUUAAAUUUAUUAUUAAGAACUUUUAUAACUAUGUCGGCAAAAUUAAUUAAUUGAAAUUAAUAUACAUAACUUCAAAUGAUUUACAACUCUGUUUAUAAAUUUCAUUGCCAAAUGUUUAUAAUAUAUAUAUAUAUAUAUAUAUAUAUAUAUAUAUAGGAAUGAUCCAUAACAUAUAAAUGAAAAGUGGUAUAUAACAUCUCAACCAUCCGUGUAAUUAAUGAAGGGCUGAGAUUUGUAUUUUGUAACUACCGUCCGCUAGACUUACUAGCGGACGUAGUAAAUUAGAUAUCUGGACAUUUAUGCCCCCCAAUUCGCCAGUUAGCCAAGCCAAAAUCCACAGACAUUACACAGUCCGCUAGUAUGUCUAGCGGACAGGACAUACUAGUUUUCCAAACAAAUCUUAAUACCCACUGUAUCUUUCCUGCACGAUUCAUAUACUGCAUACCCAAAACAAUAUAUAAUCAUACUUAAUACCCUAAACAAAUAUCUUCCUGCAUACCCAAAACAAAUCUAUUCAUACUUAAUACCCAAAACAAAUCUUUUCCUGCACGAUUCACGAUUCAUACUUAAUACCCAAUAAAUAUUUUCCUGCAAGAUUCAUGCAAUACCCAGUACUUAACAAUUUCAAAAAAUGAUUCAAACAAGCAUAUUUCCCAUAAAAACCAACUGCAGCAAUUCUCCCUGCAAGUGUACAAGAUAUUCUUGCAAUACCCAGUACAUAUCAGCAACAACAACAACAUGAAUUCCUGCAAUACCCACGAAUAGCAACAGUUAAGCAAAAAGAUAUGGAAUGGUUAACAUCACAUCCCCAAUAAAGCAAAAUUUCCAAAUCUUCCAAAUAAUAUUCGAAAUUCAAAUCAAAACAAGAUAUAUCAAAUUCCAAAAGAAAUAGAAAUCAAAUACAGUAAAUUUUGAACAUCAAUAUCAUAACAGGAGGAUGAAUCGUCCAGCAUGAAAACACAGUAAAUUUUGAACAUCAAUAGGUAACAUAAACAAAACUGAUUUAAUAGUUCAAAAAAAAUGCUGGCAAUCGAAAUUUAGAAGCUUAGUCAAAAGCAAAUAAUGGUUUCAAAAAAGUAAUAUUUGCACAUGAUUAAAGGCAAAAGUAGAUAAUGGUUCUAAAAAAGUAAUAUUUGCAAAUGAUUAGGAAUAUGUGCAAAAACAGGGUCUAGAACUUAGAAUUUGCACAUAAUUAUGAAUAUGUGCAAAAAACAGUCAUUAAUUUCAAAUAAUAGGGAGACAUAAGCAAGAUUUACCUGAGAGAAUUAUCCCUGAAAUGCAUUUCCAUGUAAGGCUGUCAAAUCAACCCCGUAAUAAUUUUGUUGCUGCCAAAAAAGGGCCUGGAGAACAAAGAGUCAUAACCAUUGGACCUCUGCUUCUCAACAAACCAGAUGCUAAGAAACAAAUAUAGAAUUUGAGAGAUUAAUUUUUAAAAUAAUCUACUCUACACAAGGAAAGCAUAUCAAUUUAGCACAUUCUGCUUCAAACAUUAAACUAUGAAAACAUAAAUCUAUAUUCUUUAAUAAUAUAUUCAAAACAAUUCACCAAGACAGAUAACUUGAAUAAACUACUCAGCAAACAGCUAAACAGAUAGAAUUCUGGCAAAAAUAAUAAUGAUAUAAAUUUUGGUUGUCUAAAAUCCCAGUAUCGAUUCAAGACAAGACCACAGCAUGACCAUGACUUUGUGGAUGCCUAUGAAUUUAAUUCUGACUUAUCAAACAUGGCUCAAACAUAAAAAAUGGAAGACUGCGACACUGACAUUGUAAUAUGGGACAAAGACAACCUAAAAUGAAAGACCUGAGACUUAAUAAGUCAUCAUGAACAAGUUUGAUGCAUAUCGUACAACACUAUGAUGUAACACUUGUUUCGGAAUUAACAAAAAUUGUUGUGGCAAUAUCAUUCUAUUCCUAUUACUUCUAUUUCUUAAAUGAUGGCCAGCUGGUUUUGUCCCUACCUCUGCCUGAAGAAGCUUAUUUCCUGUCAACCAUAAGCUAUACUGUUUAUACCUAACAACCAAUUGGCUCCUAAGGAUGGUUUAACUUACGAUCCAACCAGGAUGGAAGGCAAGUACUUCAGUCACAUGAAUGGAAACAUGCACCAUUAUGCCGCAAUCCUCUUUCAAUCCAGUAAUAAAUAUUUAUAAAAUAAAGGAUGACAAGAAUAUAUAAAUUAAAUAACAAGUAGGGGACAACCUGAACAUCAAACAUUGCAUCAGGACCAACAAGAUAUCCAGUUUUUUCUUUGAUGAAGGACACAACCUUCUCUUUUUUAAUCCUUUUUUGCUUCCCUCCAUUCAGAUUGGAGCUCUUUAUUAUCAGCAAACUGCAGACAGUUUGAUAUGUUUAACUUGGUUAUGUAAGUGUGUAUUACUAAAGAACAAUAUAAGCAACAGAAAAGAAAAGAAAGGAAAUCUAGGUGAUCAGAACAUUCUAGUAGUGUACCAAUUUUACGAAAAUCAAAAGAUAGGUAUCGCAUGAUCAUAACAGAGCUAAAUGUGAACCAAAAAAAAAAUAUUUAAUUUUGCCCAAAAAUCUAGUUUUCAAUAUUAUACAACUUUGAAACUUCCAGGAAAAUAUAAAAUAAAAAAUAAAAAAAUUACAAUCAAUCUGUAGAAAAAGAAUGAAUGGCAUGUUUAAAUUCAAAAAAACAGGCGAAUAAGAGAUAAAUGUAACUGGCAUAAGUAGAUUACAACAAAUAAAACUUAAGAAAAAGCAUGAAAAAUAAACAGGAUGAAACUAGGGUUCAAGCGAAUUAAUUGUGAAUCGCAUCACCUUCAGAUUUUGGAGAUUAAACUACAAACUUACCUGUGAAAUCUGUUUGGAAGAACAAGGUUCCACUUAGCGAAAUUGUUGCGGAUUUGCAUAUGACCACUUCUAGGGUUCUAGCUGUUUACAGCGGACGCAGAACUAGGGACAAAUGCAAUCGCAGUAUUGUUUUGAAACCUUGCGAAAUUGUAGCCGAUUUGCAGAUUUGAGAUUGUAGCCGAUAGCAUAUGACCACUUAUAGGGUUCCAGGGAUUCGCCCAAUUCGCAGAACUAGGGACGAUUGCAAGCUCUGUAUUGUUUUACCUGUGUCGAUUUUCCCCUAAAUAUUUUGAUCCGUCUGCUAGAAUCUCUAGCGGAUUGCGUAGUUACUGUAUUUGUUUUGGCGAAUUGGGGGGCGUAUUUGUUUUGAAUCGGGGGCAUAAAUAUCCACACUACGUCAGCUAGUAAGUCUAGCGGACGGUUCCAUUCAUUAAUUAUAAUUAAGAUGUUAUAUGUUAUUUUUUAUUUUAUAAUUUAUAAAUGUUAUGGAUUAUUUCCCUCUCUAUAUAUAUAUAUAUAUAUAUAUGGAUUUGAUCAAGUCCGGACUCCCAGACCUGAUCAAAUUCGGACAUUUUUUUUUUUGCUUUUUUUUUUAAACAACUAAAAAAAAAAUUAUGAAACUUGAAUUUUUACAUAAUACAGUAUUUUGAGUGUGAUUUGGAUACAUAAUACAGUAUGCACACAUGUUUUGUUAUAUGUAUUCAAAUCACACUAAAAACACUGUAUUAUAUAAAAAUUCAAGUUCCAUAAUUUUAUUUUAUUUUUUAGUUGUUUAAAAAAAAACCAAAAAAAAAUGUCCAAAUUUUAAACCUGUCCGAGCUCCCGGACAGAAUCCGACAUAUAUAUAUAUAUAUAUAAGAAUGUUUCUUUAAAAAAAAUAUGAAGUCAGUCGGUACUGUAUAUAUAUACAUUCAUAUAUAUUUAGUACAAUAAUAUAUAUUUAGUCUGAUAAUAUAUAUAUAUAUAUAUAUAUAUAUAUAUAUAUAUAUAUAUAUAUAUUCAUGAUCAGGUUUCAUUCUAUGAAUCAUUGCUAUUUAUAUAUAUAAAUUAGUAUUUUUCAUUCCAACAAGAAAAGUUGCACAUGGAUCAUUACCAUUAUACUUCUCUCUCUAUAUAUAGUCCUUGACAUAGCAAUCAAAAUUAUCCCAAUACAAUAAAAGCAUACCUGAGAUUUCUUUUCUUCCGUACAGCCGCACAAGUCUUCCUCCUCUUUUCCCUCAGUUUGUAUAAUGAAAUAAAAUUAGGUCAAGCUCUUUAUUAACUAAGAGGUCUCUUUUAUUUAAUAAACUUCUAAUUAGGUUCAAUUAAUAAUAAGGCCCAAAUUGUACUAAAUUAAUUUACCCAUCUCUUAUUAAUAUUUAUUAGCCCACACAAAUUAAAUAACUAGUUUGACCAAAAUAAAUGACAAAUUCCAAUUAAUAUGUUUUAAAAUAAAAUAUUUUUUUUAUUAUUUAAUAUAUAUAUAUUUAUUUCGGGUAUUACAUCACCUACCCCUUAAAAGGAUUCCGUCCCCGGAAUCAAAAGAAUGAACGUACCUAAUUAUCAAAGAGAUGUGGAUACUCCUCUCGAAUAGAUUCCUCCAUCUUCCAAGUGGCUUCCUGCUCCGAAUGAUUCCUCCACAAAACCUUAACAAAUGGGAUUGUCUUCCUUCUCAUAAUCCGCUCUUGACGAUCCAAAAUUGCCUCGGCUUGUUCCUCAUAAGUAAGAUCCUCCUGAAUCUUAUCGAACGGAUAUUGCACCACAUGCAAUAAAUGAUAAUGAUAACUCCUCAACACCGACACAUAGAACACAUUGUGCACAUGAGCUAGCUGUGGAGCAAAGCUAACCGAUAUGCAACUUCACCAACCCUCUCCAAAAUCUUAAAUGGGCCAAUAUAACGCGGACUAAGUUUCCCUUUCAACCCAAAUCGCUGAAUGCCCUUCCAAGGAGAAACUUUUAGAAACACAUGCUCACCAGAUUCAAACUCUAAAGUCCUCUUAUGCUUAUCAGCAUAACUCUUCUACCGUGAUCGAGCCGACUUCAAUUUCUCCUUAACCACUGCUACUUUCUCCGUAGUGAUUUAAACUAACUCAGGCCCUUCUAUGGCCCUUUCGCCAACCUCAUCCCAACAAGUUGGUGCCCGACACUUCCUACCAUACAACGCCUCAAAAGGAGCCAUUCCAAUACUUGCAUGCCAGCUGUUGUUAUAAUCAAACUCAACUAGGCUCAAGUAAUCAUCCCAAUUACCCGACCACUUAAGUGCAUAAGAACUCAACAUGUCCUCCAGCGUCUGAAUAGUCCUUUCGAAUUGCCCAUCAGUUUGCGGAUGAAAAGAAGUACUGAAGUUGAGCCGAGUACCCCAAGCUCGUUGAAACCCUUUCCAAAACCGUGAAGUAAACCGUGGGUCCUGAUCUGAAACAAUAGAUACAAGAGUACCAUGAAGUCUAACAAUCUCCUGCUGAAAUAUAUAUGCCAACCUAUCCACCGAGUAACCCUCAUGGAUAGCCAAAAAGUGUGCCGAUUUGGUCAGCCGGUCCACCACUACCCAAAUGGCAUCAUUCUUCUAGAAAGUCUUUGACAAACCAGCCACAAAAUCCAUCGUGAUAUUGUCCCACUUCCACAUUAAAAUGUCUAAUUGUUGCAGCAAACCACUAGCUCGUUGAUGUUCUAUCUUCACUUGUUGAAAAGUGAGGCACUUCCCAACAUAUUCAGCCACGUCUCGUUUCAUCCCAUUCCACCAAAAAUUCUUCUUCAAAUCCCUACACAUCUUUGUAGAACUUGGAUGAAUAGAAAAUGGCAAACUAUGAGCCUCAGUCAACACAGCCUCCUGAAUGAUUGGAUCCGACGGUACAAACAACCGCUCACCCAACCAAAUCACACCAUGGUCAUCAAUACGAAACUCGGGCUGCUUGCCCUCCUCCAGAUUCUGCGCCAUACUCCACAAUUCCCCAUCUUCUUUUUGAGCUUCUUUAACUCGCGAGAUAAGAGAGGGCUCCACUCUCAUACCAGCCACAUGUCCAUCUGAACCUUGCACAAAUAACUCCAACUCUAGUCUCCAUAUCCGAAAUAAUCUGAGGUUGUGUAAUAAGGGCUGCUACACUUCCUGAACUCUUUCGGCUAAGAGCAUCUACAACCACAUUUUCCUUCCCCGGGUGAUACUGAAUCCUCGUAUCAUAAUCUUUUAGAAGCUCCAACCAACGUCUCUGCCUCAUGUUGUGCUCCUUCUGAGUGAAAAUGUAUUUAAGACUUUUGUGAUCGGUGAAGAUAUCAUAAGUCUCUCCAUACAAAUAAUGCCUUCAAAUCUCUAAGGCAAAGAUCACCGCUUCCAACUCCAAAUCAUGUGUGUGGUAAUUCACCUCGUAAGGUUUAAGCUGCCUAGAAGCAUAAGCAAUCACCUUACCGUGUUGCAUUAAAACACACCCCAAUCUCUUCUUAGAAGCAUCACUAUAAUUCUGGUAACCUCCUGUCCCCGAUGACAAUGCAAGUAUAUGAGCUGUCAUAAGUCAUUUCUUCAACUCCUCAAAACUCUUCUCACACUCCUCAUUCCACACAAACUUUGUGCCCUUCCUUAUCAACUGAGUCAACGGUAAGGCAAGCAAGGAAAACCCUUCCACAAACCGCCUAUAAUACCCUUGCCAAACCUAAGAAACUCCUAAUCUUUGUCACCGUGGUAAGUCUCGGCCAUUUAGUGAUAGCCUCAACCUUCGCAAGAUCCACCUUAAUGCCUUCAGCAGAAAAAAUGUGGCCUAAAAAUGCAACAUACUCCAACAAAAACUCGCAUUUAGAGAAUUUAGCAUACAACUUCUCUUUCUGCAAAAUCCCAAAAAUUAUGCAAAGAUGCUCCUCAUGUUCUUCCUUAGACUUGGAGUAAACCAAAAUGUCAUCAAUAAAGACAAUAACAAAUUGGUCCAAGUACUCCUUGAACACCUGGUUCAUCAAAUCCAUAAACACCGCCAGAGCGUUAGUCAACCCGAAUGGCAUCACCAGAAACUCGUAAUGCCCAUAUCGAGUGCGAAAAGCUGUCUUAGGGAUAUCCUCCUCCCUCACCCUCAACUAAUGAUAACCUGAUCUCAAGUCUAUCUUCGAAAAAUACUUUGCCCCCUGAAGUUGGUCAAACAAGUCAUCAAUCCUCGACAAUGGAUACCGACUCCUGAUGGUAAUCUUGUUCAACUCCCUGUAGUCUAUACACAGCCUCAUAGACCCAUCCUUCUUCUUUACAAACAAAACUGGAGCACCCCACGGCGAAACACUCGGCCGAAUCACACCACGAUCUAACAGUUCCUGUAACUGCUCCUUCAACUCCUGUAACUCCAAUGGUGCCAUCCGAUACGGCGUCUUAGAGAUAGGCUCUGCACCAGGAACAAGCUCAACAGCAAACUCUACUUCUCGCUGUGGUGGAAACCCUGACAACUCCUUAGGAAACACAUCGGGAAAAUCACGAACAACAUGAACAUCCUCAAUACGAGACUCACCCUUAGAGGUAUCCUUCACAAAUGCCAAAUACCCCUCAUAGCCCUUCGCAACUAACUUCUCAGCCUUCAAAGCUGAAAUUAACUUCACCACUAUACUCGGCUGUGAACCCUGAAACACGAAUUUUGGAGACUUCACAUCUCCAAAUAUAACCUUCUUCGCCUGACAAUCGAUAGUGGACUGGUGCUUAUCUAACCAGUCCAUCCCAAGAAUGGCAUCAAAAUCGUGCAUACUCAUUGGAAGAAGAUUAGUACGAAUCUUAUCCCUAAAACUUAUCGGACACCCUCGAUAAAAAUCAGAAAUAACAACAGAAGUCCCCAUCGGGGUAGUAAUACACAUAACAGAAUCUAAAGACUGGGAUGACACACCCAGGUGCCGAACAAAAGACUGAGCAACAACGAAAUGGGUAGAACCCGUAUCAAACAAAAUAGACACCUCACGAUUGCAAACUAGAAGAGUACCAGAAACAGUACUUGGUGCACCUGCCGCCUGGUUAUACGUCAAAGCAAAAACUCGACUACCCUGACCUCCAUUGCCACCAUUUUCACCACCUCCAUCAUUAUCGCGUGGACCGGUACAAUCCCUAGCAAUAUGACCCAUCUGUCCACACAAGAAGCAUGCACCGGUGAGUCUAUGGCACUGCCUCCCCGGAUGAUUAGCCCCACACAUAGCACAAGGAGAUAUCAGAAUGAGAUUUGGGUUACCCCCACUAGCUGGUCCCGGAUAACGACCCUGAUUCUGUCCCUGAUGACGAUUCUGCCACUGUUGACGAUUUUGUCCAUACCAAUGUAGCUGAAGCUGAAGAUUCUGCCCUUGUUGAGGCAUCUGCUGAUAACACUUAUUUUGAUUCUAGCCAUGCCACUGCCCCUGCUGGCCACCACAGUUCCUGUUCCACUGACCACCUUGAUUCUUCCCAUGUUAUCCCGAAGUUUGACCCUGCUGGUCAUCUCUGUCCCUCUUUCAACUCCCUUCCGAUUUAGAAGACCGAAAGUCCUGUCAUUCCAUCUCAAUAUUAUUGGUCGUAGUGGCCACUGCUGACACAUCUACAAACUUGGUGUUAAUAAGAUGCUGCCAAUGCCUAUGAUGAAUCCUCCACUUGAAUUUCUCUGCCUGUUCUGCUGCAGUCCCUGCUGAGGUUCCCGCAAAUCCUGCCAACCUAGUGAACCUUGUCAUGAAAUCCGUGAUAGACUCAUCAUCUUUCUGUCGAAUGGACAGAUAGUCUCUAGCAUAGGCCUCUUUAUCAGCAGCUGGAAAGUACUGCUGAUAAAAGACCUCACAAAACUCUGCCCGGCUAAGUGCCUCAGCAUAACCAUCACCCUUUGUUACUUUCGUCGCCUUCCACCACCUCUGUGCAUCCCCUUCCAUCUUGUAAGUGGCAAGUUAUACUCUCUGAUUAUCUGAGCACCCCAACAAAUCGAAAAUCUUUUCUAGGUGAGCGAUCCAAUUCUUUGCAUCAAUUGGAGUCAAAGCUGAACUGAAUGACUGUGGUUUCUGCUUCUGGAACCUCUCCAACCAUACAUACAUUGGAACCAUCGGUUGAUCACGACCAUCCGUAUUCCCUUCCUCAACAUUCGCAUGCUGACCAUUAUUUCCCAGAUUCUCUUGUUCAGGAAUUUCUGGUGGCGGCUACUGCAUUGCCUGUACAACCUGUGCCACCAACUGAGAUAAAGCCUGAUUCACCUCCUGAUUCACCAAGGUAGCCAAUUGAGCAUUAAUCUAAUCAUUAGGUUGCUCAUUGGGCUGACCCUCACCUCUUCCCCUAUUGUUGCCUCACCUCCCAACAACUCAAGCAGAUCUACGAGCCAUCUAAGAAAGAGAUCACGAAUAUAAACAAAGUAGAUUAGAGACAAAUUCGAAUAUAGCGGAUAUGAUAGCUGAACAGAAUAUCAAACAGAACAAAAAUGUGACGCCCCCAAAAUAAGUAUACAUCACCCAUCUUGAGUCGCCAAAUACAUGGUACAGAAUACAAAUACAAACUUAAUUAUACAACAGUCGUGUAAUAUAUGACAAAACAUAGCUGAGAGUUUAAACAUGAAUGUUUCCUUCUAGACAAUAUCCACUCUCAAAUAGAGUCCUCAUUACAUUUAUUGUCACACAAUUUUAUAGAAUAGUGAGGACUACUAAUACACCAUCUCGGACCAUCACUUUGUUCCCUGACUAGUCCCGGCUACAUUUUCAUUUCCUGAAGAGAACAAUGAAAGCAAAAGGGUGAGCUUAACUAGCCCAGUAAGAAAUAUUAUGACUAAGAUAAUUCAGAAUAAAUUAUCAUUAGUCUUCAACAAUGUUAAACACAUAAAAUACAAUACACAUCAAGUUUAACUGUAGUGGAAUAAGCAAUCCAUUAGAAGAGUCAAGUAGAGCAUACUAUCUACUGUCUUCUAUGAUUUAAAAUGUUUUCAUCAAUUUUUAUCGCUGAGACUCAGCUUAAUAAAUAAACCACAUCAUCGAGUCAUCCCUGCACUACGGGCCAAGGAUAUUCAUUAAAUCAUCAAUGGUCAUGAUCAUGCCAAGAACUGUCCAUCAAUGCACUACGGCCAAUGAGGAUUUUUACCACAUCAUUUAUAACAUUACAGGUCAUGAUUAUAUCGAAUGAUCCCUGGUCAUAAUCAUACCAAGUCCAUCUAUGCACGUAAGCCAAAGAUGACUUUCCUCACAAUAUAAGCAUGAGGAUGAUGACAAUGACAUAAUAAUUCAAUAAAACAAGUUUAAGAAUAAAUUUUAAAAAUUUAUAAGUUUAUUUAUCCUGAAAUCAAUUACGUCCAAAUUGUCAACAUGAUAUUGCUUUGUGGAGUAAAAUUCAAGAAUGCUCAGAAGAAUAUUUCCAUGAAAAGAUACUGGAUGAAGCGCAAAUAUCCAAGAUAUUCUACUAAUUUCAUGGAGUAUAAAAGCCAAAACUUUAACCAACUGAGUAUAAUAGAAUAUAUGAAACUGCAAAUGGAUUUUAUCCCGCCAUGCGGUAAUCCACAUAAUAGUAAUAUUCCAACAGAAUAAUAAAGAAUGGAAUAACAGAAAAAUUCACCAGGCAUGCGAUAGACCGCACAGAUAGGUUAUUCUCAACAGAAUAAUAAAGAAUAGAACCAGGUCAUGUGUAAUCCGCACAGACAGGAUAUUCCAACAGAAUAAUAAAGAAUGGAACCAGGUCAUGUGUAAUCUGCAUAGACAGGAUGAAAGAAUUGAACCAGGUCAUGCGUAAUUCGCACAGACAGGAUGUUCCAACAAAAUAAUAAAGAAUGGAACCAAGUCAUGCGUAAUCCGCACAGACAGGAUGUUCUAACAGAAUAUUAAAAAAUGGAAUAACAACAGAAUUCAUCAGGCAUGUGAUAGACCGCACAGACAGAUUAUUCCAACAGAAUAAUAAAGAAUGGAAUAACAGAAGAAUUUCACCAUGUAUGCGGUACUUCGCAUAGACAGGUUAUUCCAACAUAAUAAUAAAGAAUGGAAUAACAACUCUUACGAGUAUUGAAAGAAAAUAACUCUCUUCAUGAAUACGAAAGAAUAAUACCCCUUACCUUAGAAGAAACUGGAUAUUAGAUUAGUGAGGUAGCAGACUUCUCUUCUUCUUUCUCUUUAUAAUUUCUCUCUAUAAUAAUUGCUCUAUAGCUUUAGUGAAUUGGUGAGAAAUGAAGGAAGAAUGAGCUUCUAUUUAUAGGAAAAUAUAGUUUCGAUAAUUGCACGUUUUGGGGCUCGAAAUAUUACAGUACAAUACCUUCAACUUUUCUUUCAUUUUUAAUUUAGUCCUGCAAGUAUUAUCAAACUUGCACCACCUCCCCUAAUAGUAAAUAAUGUGAAUCAAUAGUUCAAUCAUGUGAAUCAAUAGUUAUAAUCAUGUGAAAAUACGAAUUACAGUAUAGUACCUCCAGCUAAACCACCAUUUUUAACUUAGUCAUGCAGGUAUUAUCAAUCUUGCACCAACUCCCCUAAUAGUACAAGAAUGUGAAUCAAUAGUACACACAUGUGAACAAAUAGUAAUAAUCAUGUGAAUUAAUAGCAAUUAAUUGCUCAUUUAUCCGAUUAAUUACCCGACUGGUCAGUAUAACUUCUAGACAUCAAUUAAUAUCGAAAUAAAUGUCGAUUUCCACUAACACUAAUAAUUCCAACACAAUGGAACUAUCAAUUUCAUCUUUAAUCAACACGAACUUAUUCGUCAUUAAUAUUACAACUCAUAAUAUUUAACAACCAGGUCGUUCCCAAGAAAGAUAGGGCUUUCCGAUAAGGAUUUCUUCUUAUUGGCGCACAAUUAGAUGACCAAACCUCUCAUUGACAGAACUUUUAGACAUUAUAAAUAUUGAAAUUUAAUAAUAUGAAUAACUUUGUCGUCUCAAUUAUUGAUUUAAUAAUAUAUCAUAUUAUGCAAAUGAUACUGUGAUAAUAAUCGAACCAAUAAUAUGAGAGAUAUGAUGCAUCAAUUACUGUAGCAAUAAUUGAGUAUAACUGAGUGACUUCUCAUGUAAGCAUCAAUAAUCAAUACCGUGUGCUACUAUGCAACCACGCGUAUUACUGUACUUUUACUACCGGGUAUUUCAACAGCUUAACGGUAAAACUUCCGCUGUUAUUUUUAUAAAAAGACAAUUCUGUCAUUUUCUAACUACGACAAUACUUCCAUUAUGGGGUCCACCAAUGAUUGUGCCGUCGUACGAAUAUUCCCUGUUAAAAUGAAUAUUCCCCGACCAAUCGAAUAUUAUAUAACCACUUGCUUACUUUGCAAAAUUUGUAAAUAUUACCCACAACUAUAACAUUAUAUUAUAUCCAUACCAUAAUAUUCAAAAAUAUAUUUCGAGAGAAAUUAAUCUUUAUUCAUAAAAAUUUGGGUCUUACAAACUCCCCUUCUUAUGAAAUUUUGUCCUCGAAAUUAGGGUACGUACCUGGUAUAUUGAAGAGGUGAGGAUAUUUUGACUUCAUCUCAGAUUCUAACUCUAAGGUCAUUUCUUUCACAUCGUGGUUUCUCCACAAAACUUUGACUUGAGGUAUAACCUUGGAGCAUAGAAUAUGAUCCUUUUUAUCCAAGAUUUUAACAGGUAAUUCUUCAUACGUUAAAUCUUCCUCUAUCUCUUCUGGUUCUAAGUCAAUAAUGUGGUUCGGGUCUUUCAUAUAUUUACGUAACAUAGAUAUGUGGAAAACGUUAUGAACACGAGACAUACUUGGCGGUAAGGCGAGUCUAUAGGCCACAGUUUCUACUCGUUCGAGGAUUAUAAAUGGGCCAAUGAAUCGAGGAUUGAGCUUUCCUCUCUUUCCAAAUCUCGUAACUCCUUUCUAUGGAGCAACACGUAACAACACAUGAUCUCCAAUAUUGAAUUCCACGUCUUUUCGAUGAAGAUCAGCAUAACUCUUUUGUCAAUCUUGUGAGGUUUUUUUACGUUGUCGGAUCGUUUGAAUCUUUUUCGUAGUUAUACGUACCAAAUCUGGUCCCAACAACGUUGCUUCACCCACCUCAUCCCAGCAUACUGGAGAACGACACUUUCUUCCAUACAACGCCUCGAAUGGAGCCAUGCCAAUACUUGCUUGAUAACUGUUGUUGUAGGAAAACUCCACCAAUGGUAAGAACUUGUCCCAACUUCCCUUGAAGUCAAGGACACAGAGUCUUAAUAAAUCUUCAAGAGUUUGAAUAGUCCUCUCUGAUUGUCCGUCCGUCUGAGGAUGAUAUGCCGAACUAAAUCGUAAAUCCGUGCCCAUAGCUUUUUGCAAACUAACCCAAAAUCGUGAAGUGAAUCUUGGGUCUCGAUCAGAAACUAUGGAUACUGGCAUACCAUGCAGUCUUACAAUCUCGUUUAUGUACAUACGAGCAAGACGUUCAAGUGUAUAAGUUUCUCGUAUUGGUAAGAAAUGAGCAGACUUGGUCAAUCUAUCAACAAUGACCCAAAUUGCAUCUAUGCCUUGAGAAACCUUGGGAAGACCAGUAACGAAAUCCAUGGUAAUGUGCUCCCACUUCCAUUCUGGAAUUUCAAGUGGUUGCAAUGGACCUUUUGGUACUUGAUGCUCCGCCUUGACUCGUUGACAAGUUAGACACCUUGAGAUAAACACCGCUAUCUCUCUCUUCAUAUUGCUCCACCAAAAUGUAUGUCGAAGAUCAUGAUACAUUUUGGUACUCCCAGGAUGGAUUGCAAACGGUGUGUUGUGCGCCUCCAUCAUGAUUUUAUACUUUAAAUCAGGGUCGUUAGGAACACAAAGUCUGGAGUUGACUCGAAGUAUUCCUUCUUCAUCGAUUCUUGCUUCCGGCAUAGCACCUUCUUGCACUUUCUUCCUCAUACGCAUCAGCUCCAGGUCUGUAGCUUGAGCAGCUUUAAUUUUAUCGAUUAAAGUCGGUUCUACUCGUAUAUUCGCCAUCAUCACGUGGGUCCCUGGAGUCUUUAUCUCUAUCUCCAUCCUUUGCAAGUCAUACAAAAUGGGCCUUUGCGUUGACAAUAUCGCACUCGUACCCGCAUAUGAUCUUCUACUCAAUGCGUCAGCUACCACGUUCGCUUUUCCAGGAUGGUAUUGGAUGGUAUGAUCAUAAUCUUUCAACAGUUCAAGCCAACGUCGUUGUCGCAUGUUGAGUUCCUUUUGAGUGAAGAAAUAUUUGAGGCUUUUAUGAUCCGUAAAGAUCUCCACUUUCUCCCCAUACAAGUAAUGCCUCCAAAUCUUUAGUGCGAAGACAACAGCUGCCAACUCUAGAUCAUGAGUAGGAUAAUUCCUCUCAUAUUCUUUGAGUUGUCGUGAGGCAUAGGCUAUGACUUUCCCAUGUUGCAUGAGAACACAUCCUAACCCUUUGCCCGAAGCAUCACUGUAGAUGACAAAUCCCUCCGAGCCAGAUGGUAUUGUCAGAACAGGUGCUGAAAUGAGUCUCCUCUUGAGUUCUUGAAAACUCUUCUCACAUUCCUCGCUCCAACCGAAUUUUGUAUCUUUCCGAGUCAGCUGAGUUAAUGGAGUAGCGAUUCGAGAAAACCCUUCUACGAAUCUCCGAUAAUAACCAGCUAAGCCGAGAAAGCUACGUACUUCGGUCACUGAUUUAGGUUGCUCCCAGCUUUGAAUAGCUUCAAUCUUUGCUGGGUCAACAGAUAUUCCAUGACUUGAUACCACGUGCCCAAGGAAUGCUACUUCCUCAAGCCAGAACUCGCAUUUCUUCAACUUGGCAUAAAGCUUAUAUUCACGAAGCUUUUGGAGUAUCAGCCUCAAGUGUUGCUCAUGAUCUUCACGGCUUUUGGAAUAAAUAAGGAUGUCAUCAAUAAAGACGACCACAAAGUGAUCCAAAUAUUCCUUGAAUACUCGGUUCAUCAUAUCCAUGAAGGCAGCAGGAGCAUUAGUCAAUCCAAAGGACAUGACUAGGAAUUCAUAAUGCCCGUACCGAGUUCUGAAAGCCGUCUUUGGAAUGUCAUCGGUUCUAAUCUUCAAUUGGUGAUAUCCGGAACGAAGAUCAAUCUUUGAAAAGAAUUUGGCUCCUUGCAACUGGUCAAACAGGUCAUCAAUACGUGGCAAUGGGUACCUAUUUUUGAUGGUGACAUGAUUCAACUCCCGAUAAUCAAUACAAAGUCGCAUACUCCCAUCUUUCUUCUUCACGAAUAGAACAGGAGCACCCCAAGGAGAAGUACUAGGACGAAUAAAGCCAAUGUCUAACAAUUCCUGCAGUUGGGUCUUUAACUCCUGAAGUUCAAUAGGAGCCAUUCGAUAUGGGGCUUUGGAAAUGGGUUUUGUACCGGGUUCAAGGUCGAUACAAAAUUCAAUUUCACGCUCUGGGGGUAGGCCAGGAAGUUCUUCAGGGAAUACGUCAGGAAAUUCAUUAACAAUAGAAAUAUCAUUCAAAACUGACGUAUUUUUGUUUAGAUCCGUGACAUGAGCUAAGAAAGCUUGACAUCCGUUUUUCAAUAAACGAAUAGCUUUAUGGCUUGAGAUGACAGUGAUUGAUUUUAAUGGUUUGGUUGCUUGAAUUCGCAUAAUAGGUUGAUUAGGAAUAUGAAAGCUAACAACCUUACGAAAACAAUCAAUUUUUGCAUGAUGAGUAGUUAACCAAUCAAUCCCUAGAAUCACGUCAAAUGCAAGUAUUUUCAAUGAAAUAAGAUCGACAGGUAAUGUGAGGGUACCGAUUUGAACCAAACAAGACUUAUAAACAGUGGAUGUAAUGAAGGUUUCUCCCAACGGAGUUUCCACAGAUAAGUCAAAGUCUAAUUUCUCCGGAGUCAAAUUUAAUCGUUGAGCGCAAGUAGGAGAAAUAAAAGAAUGGGUAGAACCGGUAUCAAAUAAAGUAUAGACUUCGCUAGAGUUUAUGAUAAGCUUACCCGUGAUGACCUCAUUCGGGUUCCUUGCUUUCUGGGAGGUCACAACAAACGCUCUCCCUUGCACUACCGGCUUUGACUUUUCUGGGACGGCCUUUGGUGCCUCCAUCCUAGCUGAACUUGUCUUCGGUGAACGACAAAAUCGGGCUAAGUGACCUUCUCUUCCACAAUUAUAACAUGCUUUGGACGGCAUCGCGCAGUUUGGACUGAUGUGUCCCUCCCCUCCGCAUUUGAAGCAUAUGAUAGGUGGUCGUUCUCCUUCCUUAACAACGGGUGCUGGUGCUGACGUCUUUCCAUCAUUGUUGAAUCUCCUCUUCUUGAAAUGUCCAUUCUUAUUGUUUUGGCCAUGAUUACCACCGAAGUGGUUACCAUUUCUGGCAUGUUGAUUCCCUCCACGCUUAUUGUCACCGCUUCGAUGACUGUUAUCACUGGUAUUAUCAUUUUGCCGGCUGCUCUCUUUUGGUUGGGUUGACUCAUUAUCGCGCUCCAAUAACUGAGCCCUAUUAACAACAUCUGAAUACAAACACAGUUUAUGAGAGAUAAGAUAUUGACGUAUCUCGGGUUUCAAACCUCUUAGAAACAUUCGCGUCAUUCUCUCCUCAUUAUCAACCAAAUGGGACGCAAACCGGGACAACUCGGCAAACUUGGCUUCGUACUGCGACACGGUCAUGUUGUUUUGCUCCAGCUUGAUGAACUCUACCUCUUUCAUGUGACGAAUACUUUCGGGAAAGUACUUGUCGUUGAACAGUUCUUGGAACUUCUCCCAAGACAUCUUCAGUGCGGCAGGUUGAGUACGCUUUACAGAUUCCCACCAGUAAUCUGCCUCUGCUCGCAACAUGAAGGUGGCAAAGGGAACCUUUUGCUCCUCGGAGCAUCCCAAGACAUCAAAUAUCUUGUUGAUCUGCUUUAUCCACGUCUCCGCCUUAAGUGGUUUUGGCUCUCCAAAAAACUCCGGUGGUCCCAGCUCCUUGAACUGUUUGGCGGUGACCGUCCGAGAGUUGCCAGUGUUUCCACCUGCAUUUUGGACAGGAGCCGCUCUCGCCUGAUGUUGCAUGAAUUGCAUAAAGCCUCUGAACAUUCCAUCGUUCAUCAUUUGGUCAGUGUUGUUGUUUGCAUGAGGAUUGUCGCCUUCCUGAUGCACAUUAUCCUGAUUAUUGAUCUGUGGAGACUCAACGGUCUCCUGUGCUCCAUUGAUGUUCUCAACAUUCUCGGAUGCCAUUUUCAAAUACUGCCACAAAACAAGGGUUAAUUAACAUAUCACAUAUUAUCCCUAUACUCUGACCGACCAAUUAAAUACCAAAUAAACUUAGGUAGGUCAUACUAGCGAAGGAAUUCCCCGUCUCUCCCCUCCUAGUUCUAGUCUCACAUCUUAGCCAGGGAUCAUAUCCCUAAGCUUUGAUACCAACUGUGACGCCCCCAAAAUUAGGUAUACAUCACCCAUCUUGAGUCGCCAGAUACAUGGUACAGAAUUCAAAUACAACUUAAUAAUACAACUGUCGUGUACAAUACGACAAAACAUAAACUGUGAGUUUGAAUACAAAUAUUGUCUACUAGAGAUUAUACAAACUCAAAAGGAGUCCUCAUUACAUUUAUUAUCACACUAUUUCACAGAAUAGUGAGGACUACUAAUGCUAUCAUCUGGACCGUCACUCCGUUCCCCGACUAGUCCCUGCUACGUUCUCAUUUCCUGAAGAGAACAAUGAAAGUAAAAGGGUGAGCUCAACUAGCCCAGUAAGAAAUAUUAUGACUAAGAUAAUGCAGAAUAAAUUAUCGUUAGCCUUCAACAGUGUUAAACUGAUACAAUAUAACAAACAUCAAGUUUAACUGCAGCGGAACAAGCAAUCCAUUAAAAGAGUCAAGUAGAGAAUAAAAUCUACUAUCUUUUAUGAUUUAAAAGGUUUUUCAUCACUUUUAUCGCUGGGACUCAGCUUAAUAAAUAAUCCACAUCAUCCCUGCACUACGGCCAAGGAUAUUCAUUAGUAUCACAACCACAAAUUAUCCAUGCACUACGGGCCAAGGAUAUUCGUGUAUUCAUCAAUGGUCAUGAUCAUGCCAACAACUGUCCAUCAAUGCACUACGGGCCAAUGAGGACUUUUACCACAUCAUUUGUAACAUUACGGUCAUGAUUAUACCGAAUAAUCCCUGGUCAUAAUCAUACCAAGUCCAUCUAUGCACUACAGGCCACAGAUGACUUUCAACAUAAUAUAAACAUGAGGAUGAUGACAAUGAUAUAAGAAUUCAAUAAAACAAGUUCAAGAAUUAAUUUAUCCAGGAACUAAUAACGUCCAAAUUGUCAACAUGAUACUUCUUUGUAGAGUAAAAUUCAAGAAUGCUCAGAAGAAUAUUUCCAUGAAAAGAUACUGGAUGAAGCGCAAAUAUCAAGGAUAUUCCACUAAUUUCAUGGAGUAUAGAAGUCAAAACUUUAACCAACUGAGUAUAAUAAAGAAUGGAAUAACAAAAGAAAUCACCAGGCAUGCGAUAAACCGCACAGACAGGAUAUUCCAACAGAAUAAUAAAUAACGGAACCAGGUCAUGCGUAAACGCACAGACAGGAUAUUCCAACAGAAUAAUAAAUAACGGAACCAGGUCAUGCGUAAACGCACAGACAGGAUGUUCCAACAGAAUAAUAAAGAAUGGAAUAACAGAAGAAUUUCACCAUGUAUGCGGUACUUCGCAUAGACAGGUUAUUCCAACAUAAUAAUAAAGAAUGGAAUAACAGAAGAAUUUCACCAAGUAUAGGGUAGCCCGCGUAUACAGGUUAUUCCAACAGAAUAAUAAAGAAUGGAAUAACAGAAGUUCUCUUCAUGAAUACGAAAGAAAUAAUACCCCUUACCUUAGAAGAAACUGGAUAUAGGAGUAGUGAAGUAGCAGAAUACUUUUCUUCUUUCUCUCUAUAGUUUCUCUCUCUAGAGUUUCAGUGAAUUCGUAAGAAAUAAUGAAGGAAUGAGCUUCUAUUUAUAGGAGAAUGGACUGAAUAGUAACUAAUUCAUGAACGGUCCAGAUUGAUUUACUUUUAAACGGACGGUCCAUAUUGAUUUACUAUGCAGUAUUAAUAAAAUAUUCUAAUAAAACAAAAUCUUUUAAAUAAAAUAUAAUAUAUUCUAUUUAUAAUCUAAUAAAACGAAUAACUUUAUAAAAGUAUUCUGUUUUAUAUAAAAAGAUUUUACUAUGCAAACACUAUGCAGGCACUAUGCAAACACUAUGCAUAAUAAAAUAUAAUAUAUUCUAAUUAUUGUCUAAUAAAACAAAUAACUUUAUAAAAGUAUUCUGUUUUAUAUAAAAAGAUUUUACUAUGCAAAACACUAUGCAUAAUAGAAUAUAAUAUAUUCUAUUUAUAGUCUAAUAAAACAAAUAACUUUAUAAAAGUAUUCUGUUUUAUAUAAAAAGCUUUUCUGUUUUAUUACAUUAAUAAUACUAAUAAAACAAUAUAUAUAUAUAUAUAUAUAUAUAUAUAUAUAUAAACUUCCGUGACUUCAUAAAAAGACACCUCAAUAUUUUUAACAACAUUUAUCAUCAUUAUUAUAAUUCACAAUAUUAAUCGACCAGGUCGUUCCCAGGAAAGAGGGGGCUUUCCAAUAAGGAUUUCUCCCUAUUGGCGCGCAAUUAGGUGACCAAACCUCUCCUUGACAGAACUUCUAGACAUCGUUAAUAUUGCAAAUAAUAAUAUUAAUAACUUUGUCAUCUCAAUUAUUGAUUUAAUAAUAUAUAAAAUAUUGACAAUAAUUGAAUCAAAUAACGUGAGAUACUAUGCAGCAAUUACUGUAGCAAUAAUUGAACAAAACUGAGUGACUUCUCACGUAAGCAUCAAUAAUCAAUACCGUGUGCUACUAUGCAACCACGCGUAUUACUGUACUUUUAACACCGGGUGUUUCAACAGUUAACGGUAAAACUUCCGCCGUUAUUUUCAUAAAGUAUUUUUGUCGUUUUCUCAAUCCGACAAUAAUUCCGUUGUGGGGUCCACCAAUGAUUGUGCCGUUGUACGAAUAUUCCCUGUUAAAACGAAUAUUCCCCGACCAAUCGAAUAUUAUAUAACAACUUGCGUACUUUGCAAAAUUUAUAAAUAUUACCCACAACUAUAACAUUAUAUCAAAUUCAUUCCAUAAUAUUCAAAAAUGAUAUUUAUAGAAAAUUCAUCUUUAUUCAUAAAAGUUGGGGUCUUACAACCUCCCCUUCUUAUGAAAUUUCGCCCUCGAAAUUAGGGUACGUACCUGGUAUGUCGAAGAGGUAAGGAUACCUUGAUUUCAUUUCAGAUUCUAACUCCCAGGUCAUUUCCUCAACAUCGUGGUUUCUCCACAAAACUUUGACUUGAGGUAUAACCUUGGAGCGUAGAAUAUGUUCCUUCUUAUCCAAGAUUUGAACAGGAACCUCUUCAUACGUUAAAUCUUCCGCUAUUUCGUCCGGUUCUAACUCAAUAAUGUGGUUCGGGUCUUCCACAUAUUUACGUAACAUGGAUAUGUGAAAAACGUUAUGAACACGAGACAUACUUGGCGGUAAAGCGAGUCUAUAGGCCACAGUUCCUACUCGAUCGAGGAUUAAAAAUGGGCCAAUGAAUCGAGGAUUGAGCUUUCCUCUCUUUCCAAAUCUCGUAACUCCUUUCCAUGGAGCAACACGUAACAACACAUGAUCUCCAAUAUCGAAUUCCACGUCCUUUCGAUGAAGAUCAGCAUAACUCUUUUGUCGAUCUUGUGAGGUUUUUAUACGUUGUCGGAUCGUUUGAAUCUUUUCCGUAGUCAUACGUACCAACUCCGGUCCCAACAACGUUGCUUCACCCACCUCAUCCCAGCAUACUGGAGAACGACACUUUCUUCCAUACAACGCCUCGAAUGGAGCCAUGCCAAUACUUGCUUGAUAACUGUUGUUGUAGGAAAACUCCACCAAUGGUAAGAACUUGUCCCAACUUCCCUUGAAGUCAAGGACACAGAGUCUUAAUAAAUCUUCAAGAGUUUGAAUAGUCCUCUCUGAUUGUCCGUCCGUCUGAGGAUGAUAUGCCGAACUAAAUCGUAAAUCCGUGCCCAUAGCUUUUUGCAAACUAACCCAAAAUCGUGAAGUGAAUCUUGGGUCUCGAUCAGAAACUAUGGAUACUGGCAUACCAUGCAGUCUUACAAUCUCGUUUAUGUACAUACGAGCAAGACGUUCAAGUGUAUAAGUUUCUCGUAUCGGUAAGAAAUGAGCAGACUUGGUCAAUCUAUCAACAAUGACCCAAAUCGCAUCUAUGCCUUAAGAAACCUUGGGAAGACCAGUAACGAAAUCCAUAGUAAUGUGCUCCCACUUCCAUUCUGGAAUUUCAAGUGGUUGCAAUGGACCUUUUGGCACUUGAUGCUCCGCCUUGACUCGUUGACAAGUUAGACACCUUGAGAUAAACCCCGCUAUCUCUCUCUUCAUUUUGCUCCACCAAAAUGUAUGUCAAAGAUCACGAUACAUUUUGGUACUCCCAGGAUGGAUUGCAAACGGUGUGUUGUGCGCCUCCAUCACAAUUUUAUACUUCAAGUCAGAAUCGUUAGGAACACAAAGUCUGGAGUUGACUCAAAGUAUUCCUUCUUCAUCGAUUCUUGCUUCCGAAAUAGCACCUUCUUGCACUUUCUUCUUCAUACGCAUCAGCUCCAGGUCUGUAGUUUGAGCAGCUUUAACUUUAUCGAUUAAAGUCGGUUCUACUCGUAUAUUCUUCAUCAUCACAUGGGUCCAUGGAGUCUUUAACUCUAUCUCAAUCCUUCGUAAGUCAUAUAAAAUGGGUCUUUGCGUUGACAAUAUUUCACUCGUACCCACAUAUGAUCUUCUACUCAAUGCGUCAGCUACUAUGUUCGCUUUUCCAGGAUGGUAUUAGAUGGUAUGAUCAUAAUCUUUCAACAACUCAAGCCAUCGUCGUUGUCGCAUGUUGAGUUCCUUUUGAGUGAAGAAAUAUUUGAGGCUUUUAUGAUCCGUAUGGAUCUCCACCUUCUCUCCAUACAGGUAAUGCCUCCAAAUUUUAAGCGCAAAAACGACUGCUGCCAACUCUAGAUCAUGAGUAGGAUAAUUCCUCUCAUAUUCUUUUGAGUUGUCGAGAGGCAUAGGCUAUGACUUUCCCAUGUUGCAUGAGAACACAUCCUAACCCUUUGCCUGAAGCAUCACUGUAGAUGACAAAUCCCUCCGAGCCAGCUGGUAUUGUCAGAACAGGUGGUGAAAUGAGUCUUCUCUUGAGUUCUUGAAAACUCUUCUCACAUUCCUCACUCCAACCAAAUUUUGUAUCUUUUUGAGUCAGCUGAGUUAAUGGAGUAGGGAUUCAAGAAAAUCCCUCCACGAAUCUCCGAUAAUAACCAGCUAAGUCGAGAAAGCUACGUACUUCGGUCACUGACUUAGGUUGCUCCCAGCUUUGAAUUGCUUCAAUCUUUGCCGGGUCAACAUAUAUUCCAUGAUUUGAUAUCACGUGCCCAAGGAAUGCAACUUCCUCAAGCCAGAACUCACAUUUCUUCAACUUGACAUAAAGCUUGUUUUCACGAAGCUUUUGAAGUAACAGCAUCAAGUGUUGCUCAUGGUCUUCACGGGUUUUGGAGUAUAUGAGGAUGUCAUCAAUAAAGACGACCACAAAGUGAUCCAAAUAUUCCUUGAAUACUCGGUUCAUCAUGUCCAUGAAGGCAGCAGGAGCAUUAGUCAAUCCAAAAGACAUGACUAGGAAUUCAUAAUGCCCGUACCGAGUUCUGAAAGCCGUCUUUGGAAUGUCAUCGGUUCUAAUCUUCAAUUGGUGAUAUCCGGAACGAAGAUCAAUCUUUGAAAAGAAUUUGGCUCCUUGCAACUGGUCAAACAGGUCAUCAAUACGUGGCAAUGGGUACCUAUUUUUGAUGGUGACAUGAUUCAACUCCCGAUAAUCAAUACAAAGUCGCAUACUCCCAUCUUUCUUCUUCACGAAUAGAACAGGAGCACCCCAAGGAGAAGUACUAGGACGAAUAAAGCCAAUGUCUAACAAUUCCUGCAGUUGGGUCUUUAACUCCUGAAGUUCAAUAGGAGCCAUUCGAUAUGGGGCUUUGGAAAUGGGUUUUGUACCGGGUUCAAGGUCGAUACAAAAUUCAAUUUCACGCUCUGGGGGUAGGCCAGGAAGUUCUUCAGGGAAUACGUCAGGAAAUUUAUUAACAAUAGAAAUAUCAUUCAAAACUGACGUAUUUUUGUUUAGAUCCGUGACAUGAGCUAAGAAAGCUUGACAUCCGUUUUUCAAUAAACGAAUAGCUUUAUGGCUUGAGAUGACAGUGAUUGAUUUUAAUGGUUUGGUUGCUUGAAUUCGCAUAAUAGGUUGGUUAGGAAUAUGAAAGCUAACAACCUUACGAAAAUAAUCAAUUUUUGCAUGAUGAGUAGUUAACCAAUCAAUCCCUAGAAUUACGUCAAAUGCAAGUAUUUUCAAUGAAAUAAGAUCGACAGGUAAUGUGAGGGUACCGAUUUGAACCAAACAAGACUUAUAAACAGUGGAUGUAAUGAAGGUUUCUCCCAACGGAGUUUCAACAGAUAAGUCAAAGUCUAAUUUCUCCGGAGUCAAAUUUAAACGUUGAGCGCAAGUAGGAGAAAUAAAGGAAUGGGUAGAACUGGUAUCAAAUAAAGUAUAAACUUCACUAGAGUUUAUGAUUAGCUUACCCGUGAUCACCUCGUUCGGAUUCCUCGAUUUUUGGGAGGUUACAAAAAACGCUCUCCCUUGAACUACUGGUUUUGUCUUGUCUGGGACACCCUUUGAUGCCUCCAUCCCAGCUGGAUUUGACUUUGGUGCACGACCAAAUCGAGCUAGGUGACCUUCUUUUCCUCAAUUGUAACAUGCUUUGGACUGCAUCGUGCAGUUUGGACUUAUGUGUCCUUCCCCUCCACAUUUGUAACAUACGACCGGUGGUCAUUCUCCUUCCUUAACAACAGGUGCUGGUGCUGACGUCUUUCCAUCAUCAUUGAAUCUCAUCUUCUUGAAAUGUCCACUCUUAUUGUCAUGGCCAUGAUUACCACCGAAGUGAUUACCAUUUCUGGCAUGUUGAUUCCCUCCACGUUUGUUGUCACCGCUUCGAUGACUGCUACCACUAGUAUUAUCGACUUGCCGACUGCUUUCUUUUGGUUGGGUUGACUCAUUAUCGCGCUCCAAUAACUGAGCCCUAUUUACAACAUCUGAAUACAAACACAGUUUAUGAGAGAUAAGGUAUUGACGUAUCUCGGGUUUCAAACCUCUUAGAAAAAUCUGUGUCAUUCUCUCCUCAUUAUCAACCAAGUGGGACGCAAAUCGAGACAACUCGGCAAACUUAGCUUCGUACUGUGCCACAGUCAUAUUUUUUUGCUCAAACUUAAAGAACUCUACCUCCUUCACGUGACGAAUACUUCCAGGAAAGUACUUGUCGUUGAAUAGCUCUUGGAACUUCUCCCAAGACAUUUUGAGUGUGGCAGGUUGAGUACGCUUUACAGAAUCCCACCAGUAAUCUGCCUCUGCUCGCAUCAUGAAGGUGGCAAAGGGAACCUUUUGCUCCUCGGAGCAUCCCAAGACAUCAAAUAUCUUGUUGAUCUGCUUUAUCCACGUUUCCGCCUUAAGUGGUUUUGGCUCUCCAAAAAACUCCGGUGGUCCCAGCUCUUUGAACUGCUUAGCGGUGAUCGUCCGAUAGUUAUCAGUGUUUCCACCUGCAUUUUGGACAGGAGCCGCCUUCGCCUGAUAUUACAUGAAUUGCAUAAAACCUCUGAACAUCCCAUCAUUCAUCAUUUGAUCGUUGUUGUUUACCAGAGGAUUAUUGUCUUCCUGUUGCACAUUAUCCUGGGUAUUAAUCUGUGGUGACUCAACGGUCUCAUGUGAUUCAUUGCUUAUCUCAACAUUUUCAGAUGCCAUUUUCAAAUACUUUCACAAAACAAGGGUUAAUUAUAAUAUCACAUAUUAUCCCUAUACUCUGCCCGUCCAAUUAAAUUCCAAAUAAACUUAGGUAGGUCAUACUAGCAAAGGAAUUCCCCGUCUCUCCCCUCCUAGUUCUUGUCUCACAUCUUAGCCAGGGAUCAUAUCCCUAAGCUUUGAUACCAACUGUGACGCCCCCAAAAUAGGUAUACAUCACCCAUCUUGAGUCGCCAAAUACAUGGUACAGAAUACAAAUACAAACAUAAUUAUACAACAGUCGUGUAAUAUAUGACAAAAUAUAGCUGAGAGUUUAAACAGGAAUGUUGCCUUCUAGACAAUAUCCACUCUCAAAUAUAGUCCUCAUUACAUUUUUUGUCACACUAUUUAUAGAAUAGUAAGGACUACUAAUGCACCAUCUCGGACCAUUACUCCGUUCCCCGACUAGUCCCGGCUACGUUCUCAUUUCCUGAAGAGAACAAUGAAAGAAAAAGGGGGAGGCUAGCCCAGUAAGAAAUAUUAUGACUACGAUAAUUCAGAAUAAAUUAUCAUUAGUCUUCAACAAUGUUAAACUCAUAAAAUACAAUAGACAUCAAGUUUAACUGCAGCGGAAUAAGCAAUCUAUUAGAAGAGUCAAGUAGAGCAUGAUAUCUACUGUCUUCUAUGAUUUAAAAUGUUUUCAUCAAUUUUAAUCUCUGAGACUCAGCUUAAUAAAUAAACCACAUCAUCGAGUCAUCCCUGCACUACGGUCCAAGGAUAUUCAUUUAAUCAUCAAUAGUCAUGACUAUAACGAAUAAUCCCUGGUCAUAAUCAUACCAAAAACUCUCCAUCAAUGCACUACAGGCCACUGAGGACUUUUACCACAUCAUUUAUUACUUUACAGGUCAUGAUUAUACCGAAUGAUCCCUGGUCAUAAUCAUACCAAGUCCAUCUAUGCACGUAAGCCAAAGAUGACUUUCAUCACAAUAUAAGCAUGAGGAUGAUGACAAUGACAUAAUAAUUCAAUAAAACAAGUUCAAGAAUAAAUUUUAAAGAUUUAUAAGUUAAUUUAUCCUGAAAUCAAUUACGUCCAAAUUGUCAACAUGAUANNNNNNNNNNNNNNNNNNNNNNNNNNNNNNNNNNNNNNNNNNNNNNNNNNNNNNNNNNNNNNNNNNNNNNNNNNNNNNNNNNNNNNNNNNNNNNNNNNNNNNNNNNNNNNNNNNNNNNNNNNNNNNNNNNNNNNNNNNNNNNNNNNNNNNNNNNNNNNNNNNNNNNNNNNNNNNNNNNNNNNNNNNNNNNNNNNNNNNNNNNNNNNNNNNNNNNNNNNNNNNNNNNNNNNNNNNNNNNNNNNNNNNNNNNNNNNNNNNNNNNNNNNNNNNNNNNNNNNNNNNNNNNNNNNNNNNNNNNNNNNNNNNNNNNNNNNNNNNNNNNNNNNNNNNNNNNNNNNNNNNNNNNNNNNNNNNNNNNNNNNNNNNNNNNNNNNNNNNNNNNNNNNNNNNNNNNNNNNNNNNNNNNNNNNNNNNNNNNNNNNNNNNNNNNNNNNNNNNNNNNNNNNNNNNNNNNNNNNNNNNNNNNNNNNNNNNNNNNNNNNNNNNNNNNNNNNNNNNNNNNNNNNNNNNNNNNNNNNNNNNNNNNNNNNNNNNNNNNNNNNNNNNNNNNNNNNNNNNNNNNNNNNNNNNNNNNNNNNNNNNNNNNNNNNNNNNNNNNNNNNNNNNNNNNNNNNNNNNNNNNNNNNNNNNNNNNNNNNNNNNNNNNNNNNNNNNNNNNNNNNNNNNNNNNNNNNNNNNNNNNNNNNNNNNNNNNNNNNNNNNNNNNNNNNNNNNNNNNNNNNNNNNNNNNNNNNNNNNNNNNNNNNNNNNNNNNNNNNNNNNNNNNNNNNNNNNNNNNNNNNNNNNNNNNNNNNNNNNNNNNNNNNNNNNNNNNNNNNNNNNNNNNNNNNNNNNNNNNNNNNNNNNNNNNNNNNNNNNNNNNNNNNNNNNNNNNNNNNNNNNNNNNNNNNNNNNNNNNNNNNNNNNNNNNNNNNNNNNNNNNNNNNNNNNNNNNNNNNNNNNNNNNNNNNNNNNNNNNNNNNNNNNNNNNNNNNNNNNNNNNNNNNNNNNNNNNNNNNNNNNNNNNNNNNNNNNNNNNNNNNNNNNNNNNNNNNNNNNNNNNNNNNNNNNNNNNNNNNNNNNNNNNNNNNNNNNNNNNNNNNNNNNNNNNNNNNNNNNNNNNNNNNNNNNNNNNNNNNNNNNNNNNNNNNNNNNNNNNNNNNNNNNNNNNNNNNNNNNNNNNNNNNNNNNNNNNNNNNNNNNNNNNNNNNNNNNNNNNNNNNNNNNNNNNNNNNNNNNNNNNNNNNNNNNNNNNNNNNNNNNNNNNNNNUUGACAGAACUUCUAGACAUUGUAAAUAUUGCAAUUUAAUAAUAUGAAUAACUUUGUCGUCUCAAUUAUUGAUUUAAUAAUAUAUCAUAUUAUGCAGAUGAUACUGUGACAAUAAUCGAAUCAAUAAUAUGAGAGAUAUGAUGCAACAAUUACUGUAGCAAUAAUUGAGUAUAAUUGAGUGACUUCUCACGUAAGCAUCAAUAAUCAAUACCGUGUGUUACUAUGCAACCACGCGUAUUACUGUACUUUUACUACCGGGUAGUUCGACAGUUUAACGGUAAAACUUCCGCUGUUAUUUUUAUAAAAAGAUAAUUUUGUCGUUUUCUAACUACGACAAUACUUUUGUUGUGGGGUCCACCAAUGAUUAUGCCGUCGUACGAAUAUUCCCUGUUAAAACGAAUAUUCCCCGACCAAUCAAAUAUUAUAUAACUACUUGCUUACUUUGCAAGAUUUGUAAAUAUUACCCACAACUAUAACAUUAUAUUAUAUCCACACCAUAAUAUUCAAAAAUAUAUUUCGAGAGAAAUUAAUCUUUAUUCAUAAAAGUUGGGGUCUUACAAAAAACCUAACCCAGAAGUCUACCCAUAACUCAUAGGUCAAACCUAAAUAGGUUUUCUACAAGAAAGAACCUAAGCUCUGAUAAUAACUCUAUAACACCCCCUUUUCGAAAUAAAAAGAGAGGUUACGCACAAAACAUAACAAAACGAAAUGAAAGCUUUAUGCCACAAAAGAAUGGUCUCAUAUUGAUUAAAUAUCACAAGACAAACUAUAAUAAAUGUCAAACUGCCUCAAACCAAAAUUUAAAAUAAUUAUUACAAUUCCAAACAAAUUGACAUAACAAGCCUAAACAGAAUAUUUCUAAACCAUUGGAAUGAAGGGAGCUCUCAUCAUACUUGCCCUUGAUUCCCUAGAUUACCUGGCCGAAGAAAAACAUAGCAUGAGCCAAAUGCCCAGUACGGAUAUAGAAUACAAAUAAUGAACCAAAAUAACUAACUCAGUUAAACGAAA